UGACCUUCUGGCGCAUGCCAUGUUGGUGGAAAGCUUUAUUGCGGUUUUGGAUGGACUCGCGGCCUAUCAGCUUGUUGGUGGGGUAAUGGCCUACCAAGGCGACGACGGGUAGCCGGCCUGAGAGGGUGGACGGCCACACUGGGACUGAGACACGGCCCAGACUCCUACGGGAGGCAGCAGUGGGGAAUAUUGCACAAUGGGCGCAAGCCUGAUGCAGCGACGCCGCGUGGGGGAUGAAGGCCUUCGGGUUGUAAACCUCUUUCAGUAGGGAAGAAGCGAAAGUGACGGUACCUGCAGAAGAAGCGCCGGCUAACUACGUGCCAGCAGCCGCGGUAAUACGUAGGGCGCAAGCGUUAUCCGGAAUUAUUGGGCGUAAAGAGCUCGUAGGCGGUUUGUCGCUCUGCCGUGAAAGUCCGGGGCUUAACUCCGGAUCUGCGGUGGGUACGGGCAGACUAGAGUGAUGUAGGGGAGACUGGAAUUCCUGGUGUAGCGCUGAAAUGCGCAGAUAUCAGGAAGAACACCGAUGGCGAACGG
rnacentral:rRNA from 1 species